rnacentral:misc_RNA from 1 species
CGUAGGUGAACCUGCGGAAGGAUCAUUAACAAAUCCUAGCCGUUGUCGCCUCGGUGUGGCGCAGCGGUGAAACACCGUGCACUGGCAGCUGAAGAUGAGAGCCCGUCGGAGGUGUGCUGCCGGCAUUGACUUGGAUGCCGCACUUGAAUCGGUGGGAAUCAGCAUUGCACCGCCCGCCGGGCCUCAAAGGCGCAGUCUCUCAUCUCCGGUUUUUGUUGUGACCUUUUUAUACUUAGUGUUAUUUUGGUGUGAUGCSUUGGUUGGAAAAUUUUGACAACUUCUGACGGUGGAUCUCUUGGCUCGUGCAUCGAUGAAGAACGCAGCAAGCUGCGAUACCUAGUGUGAAUUGCAGAAUUCAGUGAAUCAUCGAGUCUUUGAACGCAAAUGGCGCUCCCGAGGUCUCCUCGGGAGCAGGUCUGUCCGAGCGUCUGCCAACCAAAUUUGUUGUCGUCCACGUGACGG